UACGAAGGGGGCUAGCGUUGCUCGGAAUGACUGGGCGUAAAGCGCACGUAGGCGGCCUGAUAAGUCGGGUGUGAAAGCCCUGGGCUCAACCCAGGAAGUGCACUCGAAACUGUCAGGCUUGAAUAUGGAAGAGGGUCGCGGAAUUCCCGGUGUAGAGGUGAAAUUCGUAGAUAUCGGGAGGAACACCAGUGGCGAAGGCGGCGACCUGGGCCAAUAUUGACGCUGAGGUGCGAAAGCGUGGGGAGCAAACAGG
rnacentral:rRNA from 1 species